GAGUAACAGUGAGGCGACGGUGGAGUAACAGUGAGGCGACGGUGGAGUAACAGUGAUGUCAAGGUGAAGUAACAGUGAGGUCACGGUGAAGUAACAGUGAGGUCACAAUGAGAUCAUGGUGAAGUAACAGUGAGGUCACGGUGAAGUAACAGUGAUGUCAAGGUGAAGUAACAGUGAUGUCAAGGUGGAGUAACAGUGAGGUGACGGUGGAGUAACAGUGAUGUCAAGGUGGAGUAACAGUGAGGUGACGGUGGAGUAACAGUGAGGUCAUGGUGAAGUCACGGUGCAGUAACAUUGAUGUCAAGGUGGAGUAACAGUGAUGUCAAGGUGGAGUAACAGUGAGGUGACGGUGGAGUAACAGUGAGGUCACAAUGAGAUCACGGUGAAGUAACAGUGAUGUCGCAAUGAGGUCACGGUGAAGUAACCGUGAGGUCAAGGUGAACUAACCGUGAGGUCAUGGUGGAGUAACAGUGAGGUCAAGGUGGAGUAACAGUGAGGUGACGGUGGAGUAACAGUGAGGAGGUGACGGUGAGGUGACGGUGGAGUAACGGUGAGGUCACGGUGGAGUAACGGUGAGGUCACGGGGGAGUAACGGUGAGGGGGAGGCAUUACUCACGGGGGAGUAACAGUGAGGUGACGGUGGGGUGACAGUGAGGUGACGGUGGAGUAACGGUGAGGUGACGGUGGAGUAACGGUGAGGUCACGGUGAAGUAACGGUGAGGUCACGGUGGAGUAACGGUGAGGUCACGGUGGAGUAACGGUGAGUUCAAGGGGGAGUAACGGUGAGGUCACGGGGGAGUAACGGUGGGGUGAGGGGGGAGUAACGGUGGGGUCA